GGGAGGAAAGGAAAGAGAAGCGAAAGGAGAGAGCGCGAGGAAGGAAGGAAAGAGAGAGAGAGAGAGGCGCAGAAGCGAAGAAAAGGAGCCCGGUCGUUCGCCCUUUGCUCGCCUCGCCUGCACUUUUUUAGUGCGUCUCAGAAAGUCUGCCAGGCAUUGGCGGUGCCGGGUGGGUUAGCGGGGUGGGGAGACCAGGCGAGGCCGGGGGGGGGCUGCCGCUGUUGCUGCUGCCGCCGCCGCCUCCUCCUCUUCCUCUUCUUCGUCUUCUUCUUCCUCCUCCUCCAGCCGCUGCUGCGUAACGAUCCUCCGUCUCUUUCUCCCUUCACUUUUCCUAUUGAUCUGAGUGGACUCCAGGUCAGGUCCUAACAGAUUGCUGGAGAUUAUUGGAACUCCCGCCUUUGAUUGACAGCCGGAGUCUCUCUCUCGAAGCUCCUCCUCUUUCUUUUAAGUCAGUCUCUCUCUCGCUCGCUCGCUCUCGGUUUCUCACUCGGGCUCUUUUCUCACUCCCUCCCCCCGCCACUCACGCCUUCCAUUUACUGACGUCGCCGUCUUUUAUUUGAGUGCUUUUCAAAUCUGGUGGAAGCCAUUGGCAAUCAGUCCGGGGUUUAGGGUGGCGGUGAUUUGGCAGAGCUAGGACGGGAAAAGUCGGUUAGAGACCAAGGGGAACCGGAAGGGAGAAAUGGUCGAAAACCUCACUCCUCGGUGCAAUUUACUCGCGAGUAAUCUUUGCCUCCUCUUCCAAUAUCGAGAAGGGACAGUCUCCCCAAGGAAGAAAAAGCACAAGGUUUCUUGGCAUCAGACUGGGAUUGGGACCUCAGCUCGUUCAAGCUGGAGUUCCCUAAAGAAAUCUUAGAGGGUUAAACACACACACACGUGUGAAGCCUGGAGGUACUGUCGAUACCAUAGUCCAGGCGCACACGCGCCCUUCCUUCAAAUCUCCAGAUAUUCUAUGUUUCCCCUCUUACAGCCGUCAUCUCACUGUCCUGCGUUGCAGGACUGUCGUACGGAUCGGCGGGGGCGCUUUGAACCCUGGAAAGGGCCCUGACCGGAGUUCAGCCGUCCUUAGCUUGACUACAGGCGCCUUUCAGUGGCGUGUAAAACCAAUAUACAACAGACGCGUGAGGAAAAGAGUUGGCCAGCUUGCAUUGCAAGCGGGGUGCGGAGAGGUACUGGUGGGGCGCUGUACCCGAGAGAUGCGCGUAAUAGCCUCCCUGCUACGGCUUCCCUCGUCCUUCCUUUAGUGAAAAGCAGUCAGCUGGAGGAGGAAGACCGGCGGGCGGUGGUAUGAUGAUUAACCCCUUCCUUUCCACUCAACCUUUCCUCUCAAAAAAGCCUCCUUAAUUGCUUAAAAAUAACAAAAACUGCAACGCGAGAAGGUGUGUGUGUGAAUAUUUGCAAGCCUGCACGUGUACUUUAUAUAUGUCAAAAGUGUGUGUGUGUGUCAUCAUGGGUGAGGUAUAUUAAAAUUAAAUCGUGCACGAA